rnacentral:rRNA from 1 species
AUUGAACGCUGGCGGAAUGCUUUACACAUGCAAGUCGAACGGCAGCACGGACUUCGGUCUGGUGGCGAGUGGCGAACGGGUGAGUAAUGUAUCGGAACGUGCCCAGUCGUGGGGGAUAACGUAGUGAAAAUUACGCUAAUACCGCAUACGAUCUAUGGAUGAAAGCGGGGGAUCGCAAGACCUCGCGCGAUUGGAGCGGCCGAUAUCAGAUUAGGUAGUUGGUGGGGUAAAGGCCCACCAAGCCAACGAUCUGUAGCUGGUCUGAGAGGACGACCAGCCCCACGGGAACUGAGACACGGUCCAGAAUCCUACGGGGGGCAGAAGUGGGGAAUGUUGGACAAUGGGCGAAAGCCUGAUCCGGCCAUUCCGCGGGCAGUAUGAAGGCCCUCGGGUUGUAAACUGCUUUUGUACAGAACGAAAAGGUUUCUACUAAUACUAGGAGCUCAUGACGGUACUGUAAGAAUAAGCACCGGCUAACUACGUGCCAGCCGCCGCCGUAA